CCCAGUUCUAACGGACCAGGCUGCCUUGCGGUGCCUGGGCAGCUUCAGAGGACAGUUGGAAAUUUGUAAUCUUGGAGGAAUGGUCGAGAGGAACAUGGGCUAUUUUAGGAUAAAGUUAUUUUAACUUUAAAAGUCAACACAGUGAAUCUUGGAGAUGUCUAGGUGCCAUGGAGCUACAAGGAACAGUUUCAUUGUGAGAGGACAAAGGUCUCCAUAAUCCCAUUGUAUCUGGAACUCUGGAUAAUGACAUUAACCUUUUUCUCUUUGUAAGUUAAAAAAAUAAAAAUUGAAUUAGGAAAGCCAAUUGACAUUGUCAGAGGUUGCUGGCAUUUGUCAGAUUGCUCUAGUCCCCUACCAGAGGCAGAUGCCACUGGGCCAUGCUCCCCAGACCUGGCUGCCAGCUUUAGUGAGAAGUGGUUCUCUUUCUCAUAUAACAAUUUCCCUUUCUGUGCCUCAGUUUCUCCUUUUUUUAAACACUAGGAAAUGAUAUUGAUUGGUAUCUAGUUGGCUACCUUUGCUCUCUUGGUUGCCUCUUAUUUCUGUUGGAAGAGUCACGCACACAGUGUACACAGAGGCAGGGGACUGUGGAUCCAGGGGUCAUUAAAGAAGGAGAGUAUGAUGGGUAGGAGGGAAUCAUUUGUGAGUUCCAUGCUUGCUCAAUUUGACCCCUCCUGAAGGUCUAUACUAGCACCAUUCCCUGUGUGGCUCUCUUUUUCUCUCUAAUACUUUCUUCUUGAAGUCUGUAAUUGUGGCUUCUCCUCACUGUUUUCUUCUGAGGGAAAACAGCCUUAUCAUCUCUGGCUUUCUCCACCCUAUUGAGCAGCUUCUUCAAUCUCCUCAUUAUCCAUAUGUUUCUUUAAAUGUCUUUUCAAGGACCAAGUGUAUCCUGGGAGGAUCCCUUAGGACCGAAGGCUCUUGUCUUUGGCUGGUGUGUUCUUGGUGCUCACACAGUUGGUUGACAUUGAGAUGAACUCAAGAAAUCAUCAGAGAGGGGACCACCUCUCAAUGAACCUGGCAGCAGCAGCCCUCCAGAGGACUACUGAGGUCCCAGUGACCCCUGGCUGGCCAUUUCUUAAGAGAGUUUGACCUUCUCUGGAAUAAACUCCUAAUUGUAAUGUGCUCACUUCAUACUUCCCCAAAUAUUCCUUUUUUUCCCCUCAAAGGAGAGCUAUCUCACAGGCCUAUUUUAAAUGUCUCCUAUUAUACAGGUGCAUUUAGGCAUUUAGCUUCUUUUCUUUUGGGAAGAGUAAUGAGUUUAUUUUCCACCUCCAAUAUUGUGCCAAUUUUUUUUUUUUUUUUUUGGUCAGAGAAUGUGCAAAUGGUUGACCAGGACAGAAGCUAUCCCCAUUUAGUACCCUUCUCAGGGAAUGAGAUUCAUGUACAAACACUGAUUUUAUAUUCUCCCAAUAUUCUUUUCUAUUCUAACAUUAUAACAAAAAGAAAAAAAAGGCAAAAUGACUCAUGAAAAGGUUUCCAUUUUCAUUUUCCAUAGCAUGUUAUGAUAUUUGAUCAUAUGUAGAUAUGAUUAUUAUGUACUUAUACCCAGAGUUUGGGUAUAAUUUUGUUUUAAAAUAUUAAACAUUUUCCAUGUUGUCUUCUAAUGAAUGUUUUUAAUGACCAUAUAAUAUUUUAUUGAUUUCAUAAACCCUAUGUAUUUUGGUACCUUCUACUGUUAAUUUACUUUUCUUUUGUUAUUUCAAAUAUUAAAAAAUAACAUGUUUGUAUAUAGUGCUUGUUUCACUCAAUUACAUUCCCUAGAGUUGGAUUACUGGGUCAGAUGGUAUAAAGGUUUUUAUGGCUUUUGAAACUUUUUCCCAAAUUGUUUUCCAAAGUCAUGAAUCUGUCAUUUCUUUUUUUUUCAAUUUCCAGGAGUGCUAAAUGCUCUUCUAGUCAUUUAGGGGGUUUGAGUGAAGGACAGACUGUGUAGGUGGCCUAGAGCAAAUGGUUGAACAAAUGGUUUCUUUUCCAAACAAGCAAACUCAGGUUUAUAAACCACAUAAUCAAGGUGAGUGACUAGGCCAUUCCUUUCGGUGACUUUUCCCCACAUACCAUUUUCUCUUGUCCCCUCUUUUGUCUCAGACAACAUAUACCUUUCACCUAGGCAUCCAGGAAAUCCUCGGAAAUGCCCUUAUUGUCCAUUUUCUGACAAUGGCUUAAUAGGAAAUAAUAGUUUCAACAAGUCAGUUUACAAAGGCAAGUGUUCCUGCCCUUGCAUUAUUUCCUUGCCAACUUCUGCACCAAGUAAUAUUCAAGUAACUUAGUUUUACCAAAAGUUUGAAAAUUCUUUAAAACACACACACACACAGACACACACACAGACACACACACAUGUUCACAUCACUUAAUUCCACAUGGCUUAUGACAGUUUGGCUGAGGGGGAGAACAGAAAUCUGGUUCAACUGACUAAACUGAGCUUUGAUGUCAGGGUGGAAGAGUGUGAGGCAGUAAGAAGGCAAAGAUGAGUAAGGAGGGCCAUUUGCACAGGCCCAGGGCUGGCAUCCUACUCAAAGAAUAGCUAAGUCCUGAAUGGCAAAAGAGGCAGAGCAGGCAGCAACCUAGGGCAACACAGGGCAUGCUGGCAAGUGAGAGGUCUUUGGAAGAGUCACAAUUAAUAUGGGAGAAUGCACCUUUCACUCCAGGCUGUGAGUUUACUAUCUUUUACCCACAUGCCUAUUUACAUAAAAGGAAAGGGAAAAAUAGGGCCAGUAAGAAAGGAGAAAGCUAACCUGUACAAGGUUAGUUUUUAGAAGGUACACCUGGAGUCCUGCUUCCCCAAAGAUUGCACCACACAGAGCUGGUGUGUGGGGAUGAACCAUCAUAUUGACUCUUCAGGGCACCCUGAAUCUCUUUUCUAAGACCAAAGAUACCCAUAUGAUUAUUCUGGAAGGGAAUAAUGGAUCUAGGAGACAAGCACAAAGAUUUAAGAGCUACUAAAUAACAGGGCGAGAGGGGAUACCAGAGGGCAUUCCUCAUCACCCUGUACCAAAGCUUAAAAUACCAAAGCAGUUCCUAAUUUCUUGGGAAGCCUCUAUGGGAAAGACCUUGGCAGUUGGGUACUGGAAAUUUUCUAAGUUGGUUUGAUUGUUAAUGGCAUCAAACCAAUGCACUUUCCCUUAAAGUUAGAUGCUAGGAAGCUUUUCCUUAUGGUCUCUAUAACUCUGCAAAGGACGUCCAGGCACAGGAUUGUUCCCAGCUGAACUUUUAGUUUUGGCAUAGUUAAUCUUUGGUAGGGACAGCCACCAUUCCAAGGACAGACUCUAUUGGUCUAGUUGACAUGUUACAAGUUUUUCAUUUCCAUCACCAUGUAGAUCUUUAGAUUCACAUGUAAGUAUACAUAUCUAUAUAUCUAAAUUUCAGUCUUCAUAGUAAUCCAACAUGGAAAUUUUCUUAUCCCCAUUUUAAAGAUGAGGAAACAGGAUUGAAAAGGUUAGGUGAUGUGCCCAUAUCCCACAGAUGGAAAGUUGUAGCUGCAGAUUAAAUUUAGGCAGUUGGGUUCCAGAAUUUGCUUUCCUAAAUCACUAUGGUGUGAGAAUGCUCAGGAAAUAAAACAAGGCAAAUCAGACGCAGAGGAAGCUACAUGACAAUAUAUUAAUGCAAAAUUCAGAACCAGGAAUAUUUUGUUUGAAGGAAGACUGUCAUUCUGAGUAGCUUUCAGUGUGUGUUGGACAUGUGGAUAGCAGAUGCAGUUACCUGGGAAUUGGUGAGAUCCCCAACUUGGCUAUAGUAGAUGGGAAGCAGUUCUGAAGGAAGGACUCAUAGAGAGUGAAGCAAAUUCACCAAUGAUAGCAAUCAAAGUUGCCGUUGAGCUGUAUGUGCUAAGUAUGGCACUAGAAGCCUUAAAUGGAGAAUUUUAAUCCUGUUAGUAUAUAAGGCUUCUGCUAUUAUAUAGCUGAGAAAACAGACUCAGAGGUUGAACAAUGUUUCCAAUGUCAUUGAGCUAACAAAUGGCAGAAGCAGUCUGAUUCUGUUUGUCCCAAACUGUCACUCUCCAGUGCAUUUACUUUUUCUUUAUUUUGCUUUUAGCCCUGGCCAAAACCCAAACCAAAACCAAACAAAACUAUGGUUCGUCUAUGUGGCUGCCAGCUGGAAGAGCUGACAGUGGUAGAUGAGCAGUAGAUCCCUUUCAGAAGACCUGUGCCUUUGGAAACCCUGAGGAGUCCUCACUGAAAAGAAAAGCUAAGCCUAAUAUGUUAUUUUUUACAGAAUACAUUGGUUCAAGUGAAAUUCUCUCAAACACUUUAAUUUGAUAUGAGAGUAGUUUGUCCUCAAAAUGAUGAAAAUUUGUUAUCUGAUGUUGGAAUAAUUAAUGUUCAGCCACUUAAAUUAAGAAAAAAAGGAAAACUCAAAGCACUGAAAUAAAUUGAAUUUAUAUUUGCAGAAUAGAUUCCUGCAGUGUAUUUAUCUUUACUGAGCUCAAUGUCAUUAUAACCAAAUUAUCAAAGCAUGCUCAUCUUUUAUAUAAAUGGAAUUUCUUACUUCAUUAAUAUAAUGAAAGUUACAUCCAAAGGGGAAAAUACAUAAACUCUACUUUUGGUGUCCUUUGAAGCCCAACCACAUCACUGAAAACAAACUUGCUAUUGCCUACUCAAUAUACCUCUGAGCUAAAAAAAAGAGGCAUGGAAAAAAAAAUAUACCUCUGAGUUUAAAAGGUAUUAACAAUCUAGCUUUUUUUCCCCCUAGCCUUGGUUGAUCUUCUAGGAAAAGUUAAGUCCCCUGAUUGUGCGAUAACAGAGUAAUAGUAUCUGGGCUACUAGAUGUGACCAUUGUCUUCUAUAAAAGAGUUUUCUCAUAUAGUUUAUUUGGAAAGUACUUAUUUCCACUUGUCAUUCAGUGAACCCUUCUGUGAGAAUUGAAAUUACUUGGACAGGAUAAAUCCCAAAUUCUUGCUUUGUUGUAAAAACAAAACAAAAAAAACCAGGAACCAAUGAUUCUAUAAAUUAAAAUCACUUUAUAUUUCUAGAGUGCUUGAGUACUUAAUAGUUAUAAAACACUUGAACCAAAAUCAUUGAUUUAGAGCCAACACUGUAGGGAGGAAAAGUGACAUGUUCAAGAGUACAAAGCUAACAAAUGUCCAACCCAAGAUUCAAAUCCAUGAUUUCUGAACACCAAGGCUAUUAUUAACUUCAUUCUUAUAAAAGGAUUUGGAGUAAUUUUUAAUUUCUAUACCAAUUUUAAAAUAUCAUUGGUGGAAAUACUAAACAACAAAACCAAAAACUACUGAUACAUGCAACAACAUGGAUGGGUUAGAUGUAAUGUUGAGUUAAUGAAGUUCAAUAAUAGGCAAAACAAAUAUACUUCCUUUUGGCCAUGAUGGAUUAACUGGGACCAGAUUUAUUCUCUUGUCCAAAGCAUCUAAAAUUGAGACAAAAUAUAUAAAACAAUGGUUUUCAAGAUAUUAGACAGCAAGCAACAAAGGACAGUGAUCCCUGAGAGAUGGGAAAAAAAGUAGGUGAAGCCCAGCCUCUUCCUGGAGGGAUUUUACAGAUUGCAGCACUAGGAUAGGAGAGACAGGUGAAGGCUGGUGGUUUUCCUAGUAAAGGAGGUAGAACUUGAGAGUACAGAAAGGUCAAGGUGAUUGGAGUUCUCAAGGGCAAGUAUGAGAGAAGAGAACUGGGUAGAAAAAGAAAUCCAAAGAUUCAUAAGAGGGACCCCUUUGCAUCUUCCACUGAGUACUUACUGUUGCUGCACUUAAGACAAAGAAUCCAAAAAGCUUAGUGGGGACGGUGAUUAGAAAUUACUUUAUAAGGAGAAUGGCUCCAUUUCCCACCACCCAGAAUAUAAAACCUCAUAAUUUACAGGGCAUUGGGUAGAGUGCUAACUCAGUAAUUGAGAAAAGUCAGCCCUACCUCUGGUACCACCUAAUAAAGCUUAAAAUCAAGAUGCGAAAUAAUCUAACCAUUUCCAAGUAACUUAACCAUGUUUUAGGACACAGAUCAAGAAUAUUUAUAGGAAAACAAAAAUCUCCAGCACCCAAAAAGGUAAAAUUCACAAUAUCUGACAUCUGAUCAAAAUUUUCAAGCAUAUAAAAAGGCUGGAAAACAUAACCCAUAUUGAGGAUAAAAAUCAAUUAAAAUUGAUUUAAAACUGACAUAGAUGAUAGACUUAGUAGACAAGGAAACAAAAACAGUUAUUAUAACCAUAUUCCAUAUGAUUGAGAA